rnacentral:rRNA from 1 species
UUUUUAUAUUCUGACUAUAAAUAAAAUCUGCUCAAUGUAAUAUAAAUAGCCGCAGAAUUUUAACUGUGCUAAGGUAGCAUAAUCAUUUACCUCCUAAUUAGAGGCCUGUAUGAACGAUUUAACAUUUAAACUACUUUUUUAUCUACACAAAUUAAAAUUAAACUAAACAUAAAAAUGUUUUUAUACAAUAAAAAGACGAUAAGACCCUAUUGAACUUUACUAUAGUUAAGCUGGGGCAGCUAAUUAAAUAUAAUUUUAAUUUACUUUAAUUUAAAAUUUUCUGAAAAAUUCAAAUAAAUCAAGUUACCAUAGGGAUAACAGCGUAAUAAUUCUUAAAAGCUCUUAUUAAAAGAACAGCUUACGACCUCGAUGUUGAAUUAGAAAAACUUUAAAACGCAAUAGAUUUAAUAGUAGGUCUGUUCGACCUUUAAUUCUCUACA